CCCUCCCUCCUUCAUUCUCUCCCUUCCUUUCUUUCUUUCUUCCUUCCUACAAAGAGUCAGAACACAGACACAAAGACAUUCUUUUCUAAUUGGUGUAAAGAUCAGAUUAGUGAUUAUGUAGCUGUAGUAAACUAAUCAAAUUCCAAGAGAAAGCUGUUCAUUUUAACUCUGUUUUGUCUUUUAAAUCAUAGAGUACUAUAUCUGAAGAUUUACUUUAUACAAAUACAGUGGAAGCAGUGUGUAAGAGAUUAAAGGAUACUUCAUCAGAGUGAGGUCUAAGAAAAGCCAAAGAAAAAAGAAUCUAACCAGUAAGCAUUUUAGUAGAUGGAGAGUCCUGCUGAGAUCAGAGAGUGGUUUGUAGAGAGAAGUCGGAGGGCCAUAAUUGGUGCUGGAUACAAAUGGUUAAAGUAAGGAAGUCUUCUUUCAUUCAGAGUGAAAGCCAUCCUUGCUGUAAAGUAGCAUCACUUUCACACAGUGUGGUCUCGGCAUGGGGAUUGGAGAACCUAAUUCUUGUGACACUUCUCAACCAAGGAGUACUAAAGCUCUCAAGAUAGUGCAGAUAUUCAGGGCUACCCUUGGCUUCAUAGACUUGCAAUGACAUAUUGCUGGGAUCUGGUAGGUAACAGAAUUUGUUAUUGGCUUUCAGAGGGAUCUCAGUUUAGAUUUGGAAUCUCCAAGCCAAGAAUGGGACCCUUUUUUCCCCUGCUGUUCAUGAUAAAAAUCAGUCUUCAAUUAAGCUCUCUCUUUGUCAGCACCUAUGGGGCAGUGAGCCCAUCAUUAAAGGCACUGUUCUUGUGGAUGAAGGACAGGUAACAGUUAGAUGCUACUUUACGGUAUUUCCUUAAGCACUUAAGUGAAAUUAUUAUAUAUAUUUAGAAGUAGUAAACAUUUUGUGUGCAAAUACUAGAACCCAGUCAGUUCAUGGACUCCAAUAAUGAUGUGAGAAAGAGUUGUGCAGGGAUCCAGCCUGUGGCCUCUGCAGCAUAAGUCCAUGGGGGAGUCUGACAGACACUGAUGCACCCAUCUGAAGGAGACAUUUUCUAAAUCCACCCUUGAAGGCAGAAAACUGAAAGCAAGUGGCAGAGAGAUUUGAGGAAAAUGCUUCCUCUUGGGAUCUGGAAAGAAGCUGCCAAGGAAGAUAGGACCCAUGGCUUGGAAAAAAUAGGGGAAAUGGCCAAAAACCUUAUUGAAAAGCAGAAAGAGUACAAGAUGAUUCAUACCUUCUUGUGACCAAGGGCCGUCACUUCACGUCUCUUGCCCCAGUUACCGUGACCAUAAAAUGAGAGAUCCAGUGUAGGUGCUUGGAUUUGUUUAGCUACUUCUAAGUACAUGAUGCCAUUUGAGUGAAAAUAUCCUUUUCAUGCACAUGGACUGUUGCUUAUCUUUUUCACUGGCCACCGUGUGGUAGACACUUACCUGGAGGAGUGGAGAAGGAACGUGGAGGAGCAGGGAUGAGGGUGAAACUGACCCAGAGCCUCAUGUGGAUUGAUGACUCUAGCACACCCAAGGAGCAAAGCUGGACAAUCUGUUUAAUCUCAUUAGCUAGCAAUAUCUCAAAACCAAUCUUUGGGGGUUGACAAAUCACAUUUCGUAAGGACAUUAAAAAAUCUAGUAUGAUGUAUUACCUUCAUGUUAUAAAUAAAAUGACAUUCACAUCUGUAAAA